UCUACCGCCUCAUCUGGACCUUGGUGAGAGCCACAACUUCUCCCUAAAACCCUCUCCUCACUGGUCAUCCACUCCACACCAGGAAAAGCCUGCCUUGGUUCCGGACCUGAUCACUGUUACCGCUGUUUACCGGUGAUGAGUCUUUGCUUCCCGAAUGCCAAAGUAUAACACCAAGAAGCACGCCGAGGCAAGCCAAGAGUGGAAAGUGGAAGGCUUUAUUAAAGGACAGCAGAAAAGACUUCUCCCCGCAGGAAGAAGGACCCAAAAGGCUGAAUCCUUGGAAGGGUAAGUUCUUCCCUUUUUAUAGCUAAGGUCUUCUUUUAGUCCUCCCACACUUCUGUCCUUUGUUUCCCUCUAUCCUGCAGUGAUAGAAUGCAGGUGGGAAGGCCAAAAGGUGGGAGGUAGGUGGGCUGAAGGAGUAAUUUGGGCAGGAUGGGCCUGGGGCGGUUUUUGAUUAGUACCUCUCUGUUUGCUGGGAGUUGCUUCAUUAACAGUUCCUUAGGAUGGGACCCGGGCCUUAGGGACAUUAACAUUCCAAUUUCCCCAAUUGCAGCUCUGGUUUCCUGGACUCCAUUCUCCAUAAUGGUCUCCAUUGUCUUUAUCUUCCUCCAUGUUAGACCCGAUUUACCUAAACUACACUAACUACCUAUCUUUAAAUCUGGUUUCUCCCUAUGACUCUCUCCUCAACAGUCAUCCAUUCCACACCAGGAAAAGCCUGCCUUGGUUCUGGACCUGAUCACCAUGGUCUAAGUGACUGUGCAUCUGCUGGACAUAAAGCCUAAGGCUUAAGACUUUUGAACUUAGCAUGCAGAGGAAAUGUCUGUCAUUAACCUGUCAUGAUUAAAUGUGUUUUGCAGUGCUUAGAAUUAAUCUAGAAUUGUUUGCUGUGAAUUGAUUAUUAAUCUAUUGCAGUGCCUAGCAUUAAGGAUUGUGGUUUUCUUGAUUAAGAACCUAUAGAGUGAAAUUGUAUGGAGUAAUUUGAGUGAAUAAAGCAUUAAAAGGG
rnacentral:lncRNA from 1 species